AGCGCACGCCACCUCCCCUCCCCUCCCCUCCCAUGGCAACGCCACCACCGCCACCGCCUUCGCCUCGUCGCCUCCGCCGCUAGCCGUUACCCCCCCACCACCGGCGCCCCCUCACCUUCUCCCCAAUGUCGACGGCGGCGCCCGCAUCCGCUACGGCGGCUGCGAGCCUCUUCCUCCGCCGGAGUCUCUCCUCCUCCUCCCCUCGCCACGUCUUCCUGCCUCAUUGGGUUGCCCCCAUUGUCGUCGCGCGCCCCGCUAGGUUAUCUGCGGUGCCGGCGAAGCGCGGUGGAGGUGGUGUUGUUGCGGCUGCAUCGGCGGCGGCGGGGAGCGCGCAGUUUGGCGCCGGGGACAGUGAGAAUCCAUACGAGAUUUUGGGGAUCAGUCCACUUGAUGGGUUCGACCAGGUGAAGAUGGCCUAUAAGCGGAGGCGAAAGGAUGCCGAGAGCAACAAAGAUGCCGAGCACCUGUUCAAGUUAGAGAGGGCAUACGAUAUGGUCAUGAUGGAGCAGCUUCAGAACCGGAAGAAUGGGGUGGCAUAUGGAUCAAUCCAGGUGUCAAAGGACAUUAAAUAUGCUGAUAAUCAACCAGUGGUUCCUUGGGGGCCUAGAUACUCAAGAUCCACUGGGAAGGACCUGCGCAUUAAUAUGGCAAUAUCAGCAACAUUUAUCAUGUAUAUAUCUACCAUGGGCCAUGCAGACUGGAAGCCCAUGCAGUUUUUGUGUUUUGCCUAUUUCUAUCGAAUACUUGACAAACUGAAGGCUACCGAGUCAGCUAGCACUCCUAUAUACAAUGAGUAUGGUGAGGUUGAAGGUCGUGGCAUACACAUGGCAAAACGAGUACUCCGUAGUUUGGGUUUGGUACUUGGAUCAAUACUUGCUGUAUCCCUGGGCUACACUGGGCUAGCCAAUUUUUCUCAGUUUCUUGGGCAGUAUAUUCCAUCUGUUGUUUAUAACUUCCAGGAAUUGAUUGUGACUACAGCUUCAUCUGUUUUGCUUUGCAUAUUGGCGUCGUACUAUCGAUAGCAACUUGUGUAAUUGUGUUGGAUCACCCCUUGGCAUUGCAAUCUUGAUAAACCUGUCUUCAUGAGGGCCAUGGUCGAUAACUUGAGCCUAUUCUGCUAUGGAAUAUGAGAGCCCAUCAACUAUAUAAGUGCACUGUUCUUGCAUGUUUUACAUCGUUCUUACAUCUGGAAAAUUUUGCAGCUACUGAUAAGAUGUUCUAUCCAAUGUUUUGAAACUGAAAUUUAGCAUGCAAGAGACAGACAGCUAACAAAGCAAUGUGUCACAUGAAACCUGACGAUGCUGAAAAUCUAGUUCUAGCUGUAGAACGGCCACUACUUCAACUGAGAAUAUCACCCAGCAAACACAUCUUCUCCCCAGUGGUGUUUUUCAAUGCUGCUGCUUCGUACAUGCACCACACACCAUCUCCAAUUGUUCUGUUCGAUGCCAAUUUUUGAAACCCCAAAUUCAAGAUUCUUGACCGGUGCAUGUCCGUCCCGUUUUGUUUGUUGGCUUCAGCAUCUCACACGAUUCACAGAAAUAAACAGGAUGAACACGUGUCCAACCAUCUCGAAAGAAACAAAAUGAAAUCAAAGUAAAUUGUUUUGUACCGGAAUAGAAGUUGUGGAUUCCUGCUGCGGCAUCGUAAAUUGGAAGGAAAUGCUUGUAAAUGUCUUUGUCAGAAUCUAUGAGAGCAAAGGUCUGCUAUACUAUUUGUUGCCCCAGAUCCGGUUGCAGUUCCUACUUCCAACAAAUACUCCAAGUUAAACAAAGAGAAGCUAGGUAUGUAAGCAAACUAUACCACCUGCACAAAUACAGUUUUGCAUGAAUUAAUUUAUCCUAUUUCACAGUAUCGUA